ACAGAAUGACAUCCAUUUGUAGCAAAAUUUCAGAUUUUCCCAUAACAGCAAGCAGUUUGUUGAUCAUCACAUGCUAAAACGCCUCCAAAACCUACAUCUCCAAAAAAGGGGGGCACUCGCUCUCGAGCCAUGCCUGCAUCCGAAACAAUAUGCUCCAAAAUACUAGUUUCAACUUUCAAGAGACAAAGAGCCUCCGAUUCCGCAACUACAACAUUAAAGAUGACAUGACCAAAAGACUGCUUUGACCCAACCCCCUAUUAUCAGGACACAACACCACCUUCCAGCACCUAGUUAGUCAA
rnacentral:lncRNA from 1 species